rnacentral:rRNA from 1 species
GCAAGUCGAGGGAGAAGAUAGUCUUCGGAUUAUUGGAAACCGGCGCACGGGUGCGUAACACGUAUACAACUUACCCCUGAAAAGAGAAUAGCCCAGGGAAACUUGGAUUAAUGCUCUAUAGUUUUACGAGACCGCAUGGUCAUGUAAAUAAAGCUCCGGCGUUCAGGGAUGGGUAUGCGUCUGAUUAGUUUGUUGGUGAGGUAACGGCUCACCAAGACUACGAUCAGUAACUGGUCUGAGAGGAUGAUC